CCUACGGGUGGCAGCAGUGAGGAAUAUUGGUCAAUGGUCGGGAGACUGAACCAGCCAAGCCGCGUGAGGGAGGAAGGUACAGAGUAUCGUAAACUUCUUUUAUAAGGGAAUAAAGGCGGGGACGUGUCCCCGGUUGAGUGUACCGGAAGAAUAAGGAUCGGCUAACUCCGUGCCAGCAGCCGCGGUAAUACGGAGGAUGCGAGCGUUAUCCGGAUUUAUUGGGUUUAAAGGGUGCGUAGGCGGUCUGUUAAGUGAGCUGUGAAAGGUCGGGGCUCAACCCUGGCCUUGCAGUGAAAACUGGCGGGCUUGAGUUGGGGGAAAGUAUGCGGAAUUCGUGGUGUAGCGGUGAAAUGCGUAGAUAUCACGAAGAACUCCGAUUGCGAAGGCAGCUUGCUGGAUCGGCACUGACGCUGAGGCUCGAAAGCGUGGGUAUCGAACAGGAUUAGAUACCCUUGUAGUC
rnacentral:rRNA from 1 species